rnacentral:rRNA from 1 species
UACGGGAGGCAGCAGUGGGGAAUAUUGCACAAUGGGCGCAAGCCUGAUGCAGCCAUGCCGCGUGUAUGAAGAAGGCCUUCGGGUUGUAAAGUACUUUCAGUCGUGAGGAAGGUGUUAAGGUUAAUAACCUUAGCAAUUGACGUUAGCGACAGAAGAAGCACCGGCUAACUCCGUGCCAGCAGCCGCGGUAAUACGGAGGGUGCGAGCGUUAAUCGGAAUUACUGGGCGUAAAGGGCACGCAGGCGGUUAAUUAAGUUGGAUGUGAAAUCCCCGGGCUUAACCUGGGAAUGGCAUUCAAGACUGGUUAGCUAGAGUCUUGUAGAGGGGGCAGAAUUCCAUGUGUAGCGGUGAAAUGCGUAGAGAUGUGGAGGAAUACCGGUGGCGAAGGCGGCCCCUGGACAAAGACUGACGCUCAUGUGCGAAAGCGUGGGGAGCAAACAGGGAUUAGAUACC